ensembl:lncRNA
GGCUGGCCGGAACGGAAGUCCUCCAAGUGCGGGGCUCGCUCUCUGGAGCGGGCAGUGGGUAGAUCUGGGUAGACUAAGUGGCCAGGAUGCCACCAGGGGAAGAUCACUCUUAAUAUUCGUCCUUAGCACCAGCAGCAGAAGUCACGCUGGAUGGUUUACAUAGAAAAGGAGAUUAUGAAAGGAUAAAAGGGCCUUUCUGCUUCUAGCAUGGUGUCGCCAGGAACGAGGACAGCGAAAUCCUGACGAGCACGGGACUGUGCCUGUCGCUGAGGCAGCCAGAGAGGGGACCGGCGCACAGGCGGCCAGGGCCAGAGCAGCAGGUUGUGCGACCCACCGCCCUUCGCCACAGGGAAGCAGCCCUGAGCUAGUCGGGAGUCCUGGCAAAGACCGAGAAGCUGUCUCAGGAGGCCAGUGUCUCCGCUCUCACUUCCGAGUGCAGGAUCCCUUGGCGCCUCCUAGUACUACUGUGCCCUGUUAUCUAGGUCACAGGACGCUACAGUGACCCGACCGGGUCAAUGACAAGGCCCAGGACCUCUGGAAGUGAAGAAAGAUAUGGGUCAUCGCUGCAGGGGACGAACGGAACGAGACCUGCCAACGUGCUUGCGGAAGGCCGGGAAAUACAGAAUCAGAGUAAAGGUAGUCGUAAACACCUCAGGAGCAGUUACAGAAGUGAGGAUUGUGAGCUGGGCGUGGUGGCCCAGGCCUGUAAUCUCUGGACUCAGGAGGCUGAGGCAGGAGGAUCGCCAUGAGUUCGAGCCCAACCUGGGCUACAUCGUGAGCUCAAGCAUCCUGAGACACAACUCGGCACGGCUAACAGCUCGGCUGCUUCCUGUGACAUCCUCGGGGGCUCAUUCGGGAUCCCUAGGAGGGAGGGAGGACCCCACUCGGAACUUUACAUUUCACAGUGAGGUGCUGCUACAUCAUGAUGCGGCCCGUCUGUUACUGCCUGUUCCUCAUGAAAUGCUACUUGCAAUGUGUAAGACUUGUUACACACACACUACGCUAAUCGAUCUCAUUCACCGUUUGUGGCACCAGCCUGUCACAGAUUUUUGUUGUUGUUCCCUUGCCAGCAGGUAUGAUUUAAAGGAAUAGGAGACUUUUUUUUUUUCUUUUUUUUUUGAGGCAGGGUCUCCCUUUGUAGCUCAGGCUGGCUCUGAACUCACUGUGUAGCCCAGGCUGGCCUCGAACUCAAAGCAAUCCUCCUGCCUCAGCCUCCCAAGUGCUGGGAUUACAGGCACGUGCCACCACACCCGGCUUAAAGGAAUAGGAGACUUUUGACCCUUUUUCUAUAUGGAUAUCUUUGAUGGGUCAUCUCGUCUUUUGUGAGGAAGUCCCCAACUUUAGUCCGCUUCACAUCUGAAUGGGAUUUACUGUGUACUUAGGCCAAAGUAUGAAUCUGUCCCCACUGGCGGCCCUGUCAAAGUUCCUCCAUCUUUGGUGGCUUUGGGCCCUACUGCAUGCUUCCUUCCAGAGGGCAUGUGAGCUACUGAUUGGCUUGCCGCCCACGGCUGGGGCACAACCAAAGAUCCAGAGUCAGGAAAGAGAAUCCUUCUGGGAAUAGGCUGCUUGCUCCUGAAGAUUUCCUGAAAACUGGGAGGCUCAGGACUGGAUCGGAAGUCAAAGGUAAUGCAAUUAUUCCAGGAGGGCGCUGGGAUGCUGGGCGGGGCAGGCCUGAGGCAGUGAGACUGGCCCUGGAAGCCUGCUCUUUGCAGAGGUAGUUGUUAUUAGAAAGUUGUAAAUAAGGAGGGGAAGAAAAAAAUAAGGAGGGGAAGAGGGGUUGAAGGGAGGGGGAGGAAUAGGAAAAAAGAAGCAAGAUAUAUCACGUACAGGUAUAGAUGCCCUAUGAUGCAUGUAAUCAUUAUGUAUAUCUAAAAUGUACCAAUAAAAAUAAAUAGUAAUAUACCCUCCUUAAAACUUUCUCCUUUCUCUGAAAGAAGUUAGAAAAACACCAUUGUUUAAAACCUUUUAAUUGUUUACUGAGCUCCCUUGUCUCCAGGAGUUUUUUUUUAGACAGGGUCUCGCUAUGUACCCCAGGCUAGCCUCAAACGCCAUGAGAUCCUCCUGCCUCAGGUUCCCAAGUGCUGGGAUUACAGGCGUGCACCACCACGCCCGGCCUCAAGUUUCACUUUCAAAGACAGACAAUUUAGUCAAACUUUUAAAUUUAAACCAAGGGAACAACACUGACAAAGGGAACGGAUGCACACACACACCCUGGUGAAAGCAGACAGUCCAGUCCAACCACCUGCCAUGACAGCUUCUCUCCCCUUGCUGUUUUCAG